UACGGGGAUAGAGGUCGCGUUUUUUAAAAGUACCUUUUAGGAGGUGUCAGGCACUGAUGAGGAGAGGGGAAAGGAAAGGACGCCGAAAGCGGGGACUGCCUGGGGGUUCUUGUCUUGGGCAUGCGGUUAAGAGCCGUAUGACUGUCAUCGUCAGAUGGAGCGCUAUCGUUUUA
rnacentral:ncRNA from 2 species